CUGGCUAUACCAUGAAAGGUAAUAUUAAUGUGGACACGCCCUUUGGAGCAAUGAAGUUACCAAUUAGCAAGGAAGGGGGUACAACACGUCUCAAGAAGAACAAAGAAGAUGGGGGAGACGAUGAUGAGGAUGAGGUAUGUUAGCUGUUCCUUCUUCAAAAAAUUUCAGUGUUGGUCAUCCGUUGCACUUGUUUGAACCGUUUCUCUAUGCCAGCCUAAGCAUUCUGAGGUUUCGCUCUCGUUUCGCUUUCGUUUCACACUCUGUAUCGUAAGAUAUAUAUAUGUUAUUGACGCUGACCAUGCAGCGUUUAAAGGAACACGAAAAGACAAAUGUCUAUGUCUCUACUCGUGAAGUAGGCGGGAACUAAAAACUUAAUUAUUUUAAGGGACACUGCAAGAUCAUAGAUGAUUGAUCUUUGGUAUCUGGUAAUGUUGAACGCUAAGUUGCUCGGACACGGGUGCGGAUGUCCAAAACGGGUGCGGAUAUAGAGGUCGGAUCCUUCGAGACGUAAAUUCUAAGAUUCGGGGACAUGGAUCCUAGUACGGAUAGUGGUGCGGGGAUCCGGCUAAAAAAAAUUUCAAAAAAUAAAAAUAUCUCUAGAUUAUGAGCAUGGAGGAUGGUAACUAAAUUAUUAUAAGCAUGGUUCGUUCAACCUAAGUUGCUCCGACAUGGCAGUUUUGGUGUCGCACCCGUGUCGACACGACACUAGUAUGGGUGUGGAUAUGGGAUCCGUAUCGGAUUUGGUCAAACAAUUUUGGGUACUUUGACCACGACAGACAGAAAAAUUCGAGACAAGAUACAAUUUGAUUCCGAAAUUAGAACCAAAACUAGGGUAAAUUUGAAGAAAAUAACAUACCUUAUCUAGGAAAUCAAUCCUUUACUUAUGUACAACUUGAGAAUUAAAAAAAAUUCACACUUUUACAAGUUAUAUAUAAGUUCUCCACAAAUUUUUUCAUAAUUUAGAGAAGUAAGAGAAAAUAUAUCUUACUGUGAAUUCUGAGAACCACGCCUCUCAUAUGAUUAAGUUUGUUUAGUAUAAAGAGUAAUUUGUGCUAUGCAGCCAUUGAUUCAAUUCUUCAUAGAAAGAUCAUUGUCUACUCUGCAAAGUGAUAUAUCUCUCUGCGUAAACAUGUGUCUAUCUCGGUUAUCUCUUAUUUAAGCGAAGUUGCCACAAGUAGCAUUUUAUCGAUCUUGUUUAUAUUAUCACUGGAUCAAUUGUUUUAAUAUGGUUUUAAAUUUUAUGAGCUUUGAGCUUCAACGCUUUUCUGGUGUAAAGAUGUGUUAAAAAAUGACAUUUCUGGUUCAUCUGUGUUUGCUAAUUUUUGAUAAUUACGGUCCCUCAGUCUCCUAGUUCCUACUUGCGACGUUUUUACUUAUGAUGUUUUUUAUUUACUGAAUUUUGUUUUUGGAGCGACAGUAAAGUUGUCUCCGUGUGACCUUGAGUUCGAUCUGUGGAAGCAGCCACUAAUGCUUGCAUUAGGGUAGGCCUCACACCCCUUGGGGUGCGGCCAUUCCCCGGACCUUGCGUGUGCGGGAAGCUUUGUGUACCGGGCUGCCUUUUUUUUUUUUUGGUUUCCUCAAGUUGUGGCUGGGUGGGUGUCAUCUCCUGAUUCUAUUUCAGGUUCAACUGUUACGUCAUAUUAGUUUGUUUUCACCCCUUGGCUGUAACAAACAUGUAGCAGUGUUAACCCGUUGCCCUUCCAUUCACAGGAUUGAAGUUGAAGAUCACAUUUUGCAAAAGCCACACUUGUUUGCGGCUAGCUUUAUAGAGGAAAAGUCAUCUGCUGAUGGGAACUUUUAGACCCCAUAAUAAAUAUGAACUUUAGCUUGGAUGUGAAAUAUGUCUACUUUGUAGUGUAUUUUGGAAUUAUGUCUCUGAAUGUGUAACUCGUUGUGAUCGAUGCUGUGAUUAGGUACUAAAUGUUUUAUGAGUCGUUUGCUGUCAUUAUUGUGGUUGAUAUAAUAUGCCACUUGAUAUUUAGACAUCGCGAGUCACAACUAGCUAUUGACAUUCUAAUAUUGUUGUUAUUGUGGUUCAUCUUAUCGGGU
rnacentral:lncRNA from 1 species